GAGAUGAAAUCUUUUCCAGCUUUUCCAAGGAGGAGAGGCAAAUUGCUGAUGCUUCAGACAUCUGGGCUAAGUUUUCUCAUCAUUCCUAAGCAUAUGUCCUUUGAAAGUGUGGCCAGUGCUUGGACUUGAAGAGGAAAAAGCAAAGGGCAAUGAAAUCGGAAUUGCAUGCCUGAGACAACAUGGGGUUUUGCCACAGAAUGAAAGAUGUUACCAAUUUAGCUUGCAGACCACUUCAAAGUCAAGAGGAAGAACAGAUGGGCCGGCAUUGGGAAAUUCUCCUACUUGCUUAAAUGAAGAUAACUCAUAAAAUAAUAAAGAUGGAAAAUUGAUUCA
rnacentral:lncRNA from 1 species